CAAAAACCAGCAUUUAUGCUCAAGAAACUAGAGAGCACCCGACAUCGACAAAAAAUAACAAAAAGGGAAAAUAUGCAUGUGAAUUAAUUAAAUUACGAAUGAAAUCUGAUAAAUAAACUAUAAAAAAAAGUAAAUCAAAAGAAACUAUUAGAUAACAUGGUUAUUGCAUGCAUCCAAUAAAUCAUCAUAUUCAUUUUCAAAAAAUCACUUUUAAGGUUUCAUAUAAAAUCUAGUUUUUAUAUAAUUUGAUGUGGUCCAGUUUUAAAGUUAUAUCUAAUAUUAAAUUUGAAGUUUGAACAUUAUAGAACCUUAUAUAUCUUUUAACAAAACUUCCUCUUAUUAUUAAGACUUUGGAGUUUUGAUAAAUUUUCAAAAUCACCAUUUUAGACUUAUAAUUUUAGUAUUUCAAAAUUUGACAUUAUUAUGGUUUUUAUAAAAAAAAAUGUUUUUUUAUUUUCAAACCAUAACUUGUUACAAACUGUCUAUAUUUUAAAAAAACCAAGAUGAUCCAAAUAUUCAUAAAUUCUAACCAAGCUAGCAAGAAUGCUUUGCCAAAAAUUGUUGGCUUUUUAUUCAAAAGAUAUUUCAAAAACACAAUAUUAGCAACAUAAGACUCUUAUAAUUUGAACAACAUAAACUAGUUCAUACUUACCAAAGGUCUACUUGCAAAGAUUGUAAAGAAAAUAACAACCACACAGGAUGUAAGGUUAUAAAAACGUUUGUUGUAAUUUGAGUCCUGAAGGGAAUGCUUGAUAGUUAAUGAAGAAGGAAAAGAUCAAAAGAAGAAUCUUUCUAUAUGUAUCUACAAAAACAAGUCACCAAGCCACUAAUAGAUGCUAGUCCUUCACUUGAUUAUAGUUUUUCUUAAGCCUCUAAGACUUAUCUGAAAUAAGUCUUCAAAGGAGAACCAAUUAAACCACAAAAAACUACACAACAAGAUUCCUAGAGAAAGGACAAGAGAGGACAGGGAUGAGAACUCUUCGCUUUUGCUUCAAAAAGAAGAAGAUAAAAGUUAGUAGCUUUAGUUAUUUCACUUAUUUUACAUACACACAUAUUGCAACCCAUAAUUUCAUUAAAUGAUCUCAUAAAUUUCAAGUAAGCUAAGUGGUUUAAAAAGAAGUCAAAGCACACAAACUAUCUAUACUUGUACUAGUAUGGACGGUUUGUAUGAGAGAGAUUGAAGAAGAUGUGUAACACACUCUAGUUUUUAUAUGUCAAAGAUAAGGCUAAAGAGGCACACCAACCUUCCCAAUAUAGAGCUCCAAACAAAAUCCUGAAAUUGCCCCUUAAGGAAUCCAUUUGGGCCGCGUGGAAACCUUAUGCGGGUCGCUUGAGUGUGAUGGAUUUUUGGGCUUCUUCAAGUCUUGGGCCCCCAUAGCUGUUCCAUUGGCCCAAUUCGAGUCUAAUCAGCUUCUAGCCCAUUUUUCUUCAAAUUUUUAUCAAUAUGAGCCCAAAUUGCCUCUCCAAAUCACUCAAAGCUUCUGCAAACUCCCGAACAUCGAUCUCUGCACAUUUGAAAAUUUUCCCGCGCCUUGCAAAUUUAAAGUUUAAAUCUUCCAAGCCUACAAUUGACAAGCCCACUCCAUGAAUCACCUCCACAGUUAUGAAGCCCAAAAUUCUUGACGAUUUCUAAGCCCAAUCGCUUCAAAAGGAUCCCGCACAUUCCCGCUCUUCUAGUCUCCAAAAACCUGCAAUUAUGCACAAGAAACUAGAGAGCACCCGAAAUAGACACAAAGUAACAAAAAGGGAAAAUAUGCAUAUGAAUUAAAUAAAUUACGAAUGAAAUAUGAUAAAUAAACUAUAAAAAAAGUAAAUAAAAUGAAACUAUUAGAUAACAUGGUUAUUGCAUGCAUCCAAUAAAUCAUCAUAUUCAUUUUCAAAAAAUCACUUUUAAGGUUUCAUAUAAAAUCUAGUUUUUAUAUAAUUUGAUGUGGUCCAGUUUUAAAGUUAUAUCUAAUAUUAAAUUUGAAGUUUGAACAUUAUAGAACCUUAUAUAUCUUUUAACAAAACAUCCUCUUAUUAUUAAGACUUUGGAGUUUUGAUAAGUUUCAAAAUCACCAUUUUAGACUUAUAAUUUCAGUAUUUCAAAAUUUUACAUUAUUAUGGUUUUUAUAAAAAAAAUGUUUUUUUAUUUUCAAACCAUAACUUGUUACAAACUGUCUAUAUUUUCAAAAAACCAAGAUGAUCCAAAUAUUCAUAAAUUCUAAACAAGCUAGCAAGAAUGCUUUGCCAAAAAUUGUUGGCUUUUUAUUCAAAAAAUAUUUCUAAUACACAAUAUUAGCAACAUAAGACUCUUAUAAUUUGAACAACAUAAACUAGUUUAUACUUACCAAAGGAUCUACUUGCAAAGAUUGUAAAGAAAAUAACAACCACACAGGAUGUAAGGUUAUAAAAACGUUUGUUGUAAUUUGAGUCCUGAAGGGAAUGCUUGAUAGUUAAUGAAGAAGGAAAAGAUCAAAAGAAGAAUCUUUCUAUAUGUAUCUACAAAAACAAGUCACCAAGCCACUAAUAGAUGCUAGUCCUUCACUUGAUUAUAGUUUUUCUUAAGCCUCUAAGACUUAUCUGAAAUAAGUCUUCAAAGGAGAACCAAUUAAAGCACAAAAAGCUACACAACAAGAUUCCAAGAGAGAGGACAAGAGAGGAGAGGGAUGAGAACUCUUAGCUUUUGCUUCAAAAACAAGAAGACAAAAGUUAGUAGCUUUAGUUAUUUCACUUAUUCUACUUACACACAUAUUGCAACCCAUAAUUUCGUAAAAUG
rnacentral:lncRNA from 1 species